rnacentral:piRNA from 1 species
UGACUAUCAUUAAGAGGCCAAGAGGUCCUAUU